UGUAAAUGCACUUGGGUCCCAGAUCAAAU
rnacentral:piRNA from 1 species